rnacentral:lncRNA from 1 species
UGGGACCAAAACUCCCAAAAUCAAUACCAACCUUCUUUUUAUGGUCAUAAACCUUGUGUUUAAAUUUCAUAGAUUUCUAUUUACUUAUACUAACGUUAUGGUGCGAAAACCAAGAAAAAUGCUUAUUUGGGUCCCUUUUUGGCCCCUAAUUCCUAAACUGUUGGGCCCUAAACUCCCAAAAUCAAUACCAACCUUCCUUUUGUAGUCAUUAACAUUGUGUUUAAAUUUCAUUGAUUUCUAUUUACUUAAACUAAAGUUAUUGUGCGAAAACCAAGAAUAAUGCUUAUUU